AAUGAACGCUGGCGGCGUGCUUUACACAUGCAAGUCGAACGAGUGGCGAACGGGUGAGUAACGCAUCGGAACGUACCGAAUAAUGGGGGCUAACUGUCCGAAAGGACAGCUAAUACCGCAUAUUAUUCGAGCGGCCGACGUCUGAUUAGCUGGGUGGCGGGGUAAAGGCCUACCAAGGCGCCGAUCAGUAGCGGGUCUGAGAGGGUGAUCCGCAACACCGGGACUGAGACACGGCCCAGACUCCUACGGGAGGCAGCGGUGGGGAAGUUUGGACAAUGGGCGAAAGCCUGAUCCAGCUAUGCCGCGUGUCUGAAGAAGGCCUUCGGGUUGUAAAGGCCUUUUGUCAGAGAAGCGGUACCUGAAGAAUAAGCACCGGCUAACUACGUGCCAGCAGCCGCGGUAAGAC
rnacentral:rRNA from 1 species